CCUACGGGCGGCUGCAGUGGGGAAUAUUGGACAAUGGGGGGAACCCUGAUCCAGCCAUGCCGCGUGUGUGAAGAAGGCCCUCGGGUUGUAAAGCACUUUCAGUGAGGAAGAACGCCUGGUGGUUAAUACCCAUCAGGAAAGACAUCACUCACAGAAGAAGCACCGGCUAACUCCGUGCCAGCAGCCGCGGUAAUACGGAGAGUGCGAGCGUUAAUCGGAAUUACUGGGCGUAAAGCGCGCGUAGGUGGCUUGAUAAGCCGGUUGUGAAAGCCCCGGGCUCAACCUGGGAACGGCAUCCGGAACUGUCAAGCUAGAGUGCAGGAGAGGAAGGUAGAAUUCCCGGUGUAGCGGUGAAAUGCGUAGAGAUCGGGAGGAAUACCAGUGGCGAAGGCGGCCUUCUGGACUGACACUGACACUGAGGUGCGAAAGCGUGGGUAGCAAACAGGAUUAGAUACCCUAGUAGUC
rnacentral:rRNA from 1 species